AGCAGCCGCGGUAAUUCCAGCUCCAAUAGCGUAUAUUAAAGUUGUUGCAGUUAAAAAGCUCGUAGUUGAAUUUCGAGACCGGUCUACUGGUCGUGCUUUUGUACGUACUGGUUUUAUUGGUUUCUCCUUUCUGACGAACUAUAAUGCCAUUAAUUUGGUGUUAUAGGGAAUCAGGACUGUUACUUUGAAAAAAUUAGAGUAGUUUAAAGCAGGCUCACGCUUGAAUACAUUAGCAUGGAAUAACGGAAUAGGACGUUUGAUUUUAUUUUGUUGGUUUCUAGGAUCGACGUAAUGAUUAAUAGGGAUAGUUGGGGGCAUUAGUAUUCAAUUGUCAGAGGUGAAAUUCUUGGAUUUAUUGAAGACUAACUACUGCGAAAGCAUUUGCCAAGGAUGUUUUCAUUAAUCAAGAACGAAAGUUAGGGGAUCGAAGACGAUCAGAUACCGUCGUAGUCUUAACCAUAAACUAUGCCGACUAGGGAUCGGAUGAUGUUAAUUUUUUAAUGACUCAUUCGGCGCCUUA
rnacentral:rRNA from 1 species